UAACCAAACCUAACAACGACCUUCCAACACAAACAUAAGCAAAACCAAAGAUGCUGCCGUACGCCGACAGUCACCCACACGGGUCCUACCCACGUGCCAAUUCCUUUCCUACUAUCCUUCAUUACUUAACGGAACCGUCUCUAUCCGUCACGGCCAUCAUGUUCCGUCAAUCCGCCCUCCCGCUCUCUCAUCGACGGCCCUCCAGCCUCCCCUAACGUCUUCCGUUCCGCUUUCCACCAACCCUAACCCUAACGUUCCCCUAUGGCCUCUUCCGUUGACGACGAUUUCUCUCUCCUCGACGACCACCAAACUAACCCUACCCACCACCACCCUACUUACGCGCAGAUUCACGCGCCUCCACCUGACAAUCACGACGCUGACGAUGACUCUGAUUCCGCUUUCCGCGACCCCGAUUUCGGCAGCAACAACAACAACAAUAACGCUACGUCUUCUGAUAUACGGAUCGAUAAGAGAAGAGAUCAAGAAGAGAUAAAUGACUGCGUUUUGAAGAAACCGAAGCAAUCGACGACGGAGUACCGAAAAGACAGAGAAGAAUGGAGCGACGCCGCAAUUGGGUGUUUAUUGCAGGCGUAUAUGGAGAAGUUGACGCAGCUGAACAGAGGCCAUCUGAGAGGAAGAGAUUGGGAGGAGGUAGCGGCGGCGGUUAGCGAGCGAUGCGAGAAGCAGAGUAAGAGUGUGGAGCAGUGCAAGAACAAGGUUGAUAAUUUGAAGAAAAGGUAUAAGCUUGAAAGGCAUAGGAUGAGUGAUGGCGGCAUCACGGCGAGUCAUUGGCCUUGGUUUAAGAAAAUGGAGGAGAUUGUUGGAAAUUCACUGCCGGGAAAGACUGUGGCUGAUGAAGAUAGGGGCGGCGCUUCUCCAGGAACUGCCGUUAGACAACCCAAAAGCAGAUAUGCUUUAGCUACAUCAAGCCCCGUAGGUCAGAUAAUUAGCAUGAAGUCCAAAAGUCCUAAAUGGCGUAGAGUGGUGUUCAAAAUUAGUGGCGCUGCUCUUGCUUGCACUGGUCCUCACAAUAUUGACCCAAAGGUAGCAAUGCUGAUUGCUAGGGAAGUUGCAAUUGCGUGCAACCUAGGUGUAGAGGUAGCAAUAGUUGUUGGAGGUCGCAAUUUCUUUUGCGGAGACACAUGGGUUGCAGCAACUGGUUUAGAUAGAAGUACUGCAUAUCAAAUUGGCAUGAUGGCGUCUGUGAUGAAUUCCAUACUACUGCAAUCAUCACUGGAGAAAAUGGGUGUUCAGACCCGUGUGCAAACUGCAUUUUCAGUGCAAGAGGUUGCAGAACCAUACAGUCGGCAACGAGCCAUACGUCAUCUUGAAAAGGGUAGAGUUGUAAUAUUUGGUGGCAUUGGCGCUGGCAUUGGAAAUCCACUCUUUUCUUCUGACACAGCUGCAGCGCUUCGAGCUUCAGAAAUUCAUGCAGCAGCAGUUCUUAAAGGUGUGAAUGUUGAUGGUGUUCAUGACUGCCACUCCCAAUAUAAUAAUGCUACAUUUGAGCACAUCUCCUUUAGAGAGUUCGUCUCUAGUGGUGCGACAGCCAUGGACAUGAUGGCAUUGACCUACUGUGAAGAGAAUGGCAUUCCUGUUGUGGUCUUUAAUCUUCUUCAGCCUGGAAACAUCUCGAAAGCAUUAUGUGGGGACCAAGUUGGUACGUUGAUUGAUCAAAAUGGAAGGACAAGCUGAUCUAGAAACCCUUAUCAGAUGCAUUUCUAGUUGUUGUGACUAUGGACAUAAGUCAGAUAUUGUUAAUAUACUCCAGUAACAACAAGUGUUCCUGUAAAUUCGGCUGCUGUGUUUCUACAACUGAGGCUUGGUUGGAUUCUUGACUUGAAGAUGCUGCUGCCGUAACACCAGGAGACCAGGAUGGUAUCAAUAAACCAACAGAAGGGAAUAAAACCAUUGAUGGAGCUUGUGUUCUUAUCAAGAAGUUCCAAAUGGUAGAAUUGAGUGCGCAUCAUGAAAGAUGGUGGAGAUUAAUUUUGCCUUCGGAUUAUAUAGGAGAAUUAGCUUGAAGCAAGAGGCAACAUCGGUGAGAAUCCAAUGCCCCCAAAACCCAAUGGUUCCUCUACAAGGUUCGUUGAUGAGGCUGAAAGGUAUAGUUGAACAACAGGUGACUUGACACUCCAGGGUAGUCAAGGACAACUGGUGAAUAUUUCUGUAAUACCUCUUCCUUCUUUGAAGAGCGUUGGGAUUUAAAAGUCAAUAGAUUGAUAGAUUCCUUUGCCAUAUUGAGGAGAAGAUGAUGAUAAUGAGUUUUUAAGCUUGAGCAAUGCAUAAAAUGCUGCAGUUUUGUUCCACUACCACGUAAUUCUUUUGUUGGUUGGCUGGUUUUGAGGAGGAGGAAAACUGUUGAUGGUAGAAAUCAUGGACAUUUUCAAUGAUUCUAGUAAGAAAUAAAUCC